AGAGUUUGAUCAUGGCUCAGAACGUACGCUGGCGGCACGCCUAACACAUGCAAGUCGAACGAAGUAGCAAUACUUAGUGGCAGACGGGUGAGUAACAUGUGGGUAUCUGCCCUUUGGCCUGGAAUAACACGAGGAAACUUGUGCUAAUACCGGAUAAGUCUUUACGGAGAAAGCUUUAUGCACCAUUGGAUGAGCCCGCACUUGAUUAGUUUGUUGGUGGGGUAAUGGCCUACCAAGACUGUGAUCAAUAGCUGAUUUGAGAGGAUGAUCAGCCACAUUGGGACUGAGACACGGCCCAAACUCCUACGGGAGGCAGCAGUGGGGAAUCUUGCACAAUGGAGGAAACUCUGAUGCAGCGAUGCCGCGUGAGUGAAGAAGCCUUUGGGUUGUAAAGCUCUUUCGUCGGGGAAGAAAAUGACUGUACCCGAAUAAGAAGGUCCGGCUAACUUCGUGCCAGCAGCCGCGGUAAUACGAAGGGACCUAGCGUAGUUCGGAAUUACUGGGCUUAAAGAGUUCGUAGGUGGUUGAAAAAGUUGGUGGUGAAAUCCCAGAGCUUAACUCUGGAACUGCCAUCAAAACUUUUCAGCUAGAGUAUGAUAGAGGAAAGCAGAAUUUCUAGUGUAGAGGUGAAAUUCGUAGAUAUUAGAAAGAAUACCAAUUGCGAAGGCAGCUUUCUGGAUCAUUACUGACACUGAGGAACGAAAGCAUGGGUAGCGAAGAGGAUUAGAUACCCUCGUAGUCCAUGCCGUAAACGAUGUGUGUUAGACGUUGGAAAUUUAUUUUCAGUGUCGCAGGGAAACCGAUAAACACAC
rnacentral:rRNA from 1 species